rnacentral:rRNA from 1 species
GAUGAACGCUAGCGGCAGGCUUAAUACAUGCAAGUCGUGGGGCAGCAGGUUUGUAGCAAUACAGAUGCUGGCGACCGGCAAACGGGUGCGGAACACGUACAGAACCUUCCUUUGAGCGGGGAAUAGCCCAGAGAAAUUUGGAUUAAUACCCCAUAGUAUAAUGAAGUGGCAUCACUUUAUUAUUAAAGAUUUAUCACUCGAAGAUGGCUGUGCGGCUGAUUAGGUAGUUGGCGGGGUAAAGGCCCACCAAGCCUGCGAUCAGUAACUGGUGUGAGAGCACGACCAGUCACACGGGCACUGAGACACGGGCCCGACUCCUACGGGAGGCAGCAGUAAGGAAUAUUGGUCAAUGGAGGCAACUCUGAACCAGCCAUGCCGCGUGGAGGAUGAAGGUCCUCUGGAUUGUAAACUUCUUUUA